rnacentral:rRNA from 1 species
UACAGAGGUCUCAAGCGUUGUUCGGAUUCAUUGGGCGUAAAGGGUGCGUAGGCGGCGCGGUAAGUCGGAUGUGAAAUCUCGGGGCUUAACUCCGAAACUGCAUUCGAUACUACCGUGCUUGAGGACUGGAGAGGAGACUGGAAUUUACGGUGUAGCGGUGAAAUGCGUAGAUAUCGUAAGGAAGACCAGUGGCGAAGGCGAGUCUCUGGACAGUUACUGACACUGAGGCACGAAGGCCAGGGGAGCAAACGGG